CGUACACUCCUACGGGAGGCAGCAGUGGGGAAUAUUGGACAAUGGGCGCAAGCCUGAUCCAGCCAUGCCGCGUGAGUGAUGAAGGCCCUAGGGUUGUAAAGCUCUUUCACCGGUGAAGAUAAUGACGGUAACCGGAGAAGAAGCCCCGGCUAACUUCGUGCCAGCAGCCGCGGUAAUACGAAGGGGGCUAGCGUUGUUCGGAUUUACUGGGCGUAAAGCGCACGCAGGCGGACUAUUAAGUCAGGGGUGAAAUCCCGGGGCUCAACCCCGGAACUGCCUUUGAUACUGGUAGUCUUGAGUUCGAGAGAGGUGAGUGGAAUUCCGAGUGUAGAGGUGAAAUUCGUAGAUAUUCGGAGGAACACCAGUGGCGAAGGCGGCUCACUGGCUCGAUACUGACGCUGAGGUGCGAAAGCGUGGGGAGCAAACAGGAUUAGAUACCCGGGUAGUCC
rnacentral:rRNA from 1 species